UACAGAAGAUUAAGAUUAUCAAUGGAAUUUUGAUUGGAAGAUGAAAGGUGAGAAUCUUUUCUUUGAAAAGUUUUUUGUAUACGGAUUAGAAAUCUUGAAUUUUAAUCUAACUUUUUUUUCUCUAUCUAUCUUAUUCUCAUCUAUCUUAUUCUCAGACUGAGUUCCGAUUAGAAGAUGAAAGGUGAGAAAAUGAUCAUUGAAAAGGGUUUUCAAUUCAGAUGCUCAAGGACGAGAGUGAUACCAGAAUACGACCACUUCAUGCCUACGAUGGCGUAUAUAGAACUUGAAAAACUAGUGCUAAUUAAGGAGGAGAAGAAACCGUCCUGGAAUGCAUGAUGCUGAGGUGAUUGCUUUGUUACCUGACGUUGAGUUCCAAGAGACGACGUUGAAUAGGGGAGAGGACGUGAGGGAAAAGUCUACAUUUGUCCUGAGCGCAGUUGCAAACAUCACGACCCGAAACAAGCUUUGGGCGAUAUCACAGCAAUACGCAGAAAACACGGCCUAGAGAAGAAUUGGAAGUGUCCAAAAUGCCUCAAGAAAUACGCAGUAGAGGCAGAGGCAGAGACAGAGACCGACGCAAAAGAACACCUCUUUGUGGGUGAGAGAGGAAUAAAAAGAUGUGUAAAUUAUAGGGUAUAAAAUUAGGGUUUUCAUUGGUGUUAUUUUUUAUUUCCAACUAAUUAUGUGUUUGGUUUGGUUGUGAUUUUGAACAUUAAUGAAACCUUGAUUUGUAGUUUGUUUCCCUUUA